AAAAAUAUGAUUUGUGUCUUGUUUUUGUUCAGUUUGAGAUUGUGUGAUGUAAAAUUCCUCCAGAAUCUUUAGCUUGGAAAAGAUAUUUCCCUGUUGUUCACCAUCAUAUAGCUUGCUGCAUCGAAUCAGUAGUUUUACAAGCAGAUAAAGUAUUAGACCUGAAUCUACAAAUAAAGAAAAUACCAAAAACGCCAGAACAACAAAUGAAAUACAAAGAGAGGGUUCAAAAUCAAGCCAAUAAAAAUAUGUGUGAUUGA